UCACGCACGCGGUGCACAGAAUUCCUUCCCAUCUAACCUUCCCUCCGUUUGCCAUUGCCACGGUCGCGGGCAUUGCUGCAAGACGCGGCCAUACUGGAUUUUUGAAAUUCGAAUUUCGAAUUCGAUGGUGUGUCGGUUUUGUGUUGUGAUUUUGAAUUUGGAAUUAUGGUGUGCAAAACUGCGCCGAUUGGGAGUCCAACGCACAGAGUGAACGAACAAGAUGGGCGGACACAAGAGGUCGCUGACUAUGAAACUGCGCUGGAUUCAGCUGGUUACGGCCGAUUCAGCCGCGCAGCGCU